GGGAUUAGAUACCCCACUAUGCUAUGGCGUAAACCACGACCUCUUUAUCCGCCAGAAAAUUACGGGCGUCUCCAGCCUAAAACUCAAAAGACUUGACGGUGUCCCAUCUACCUAGAGGAGCCUGUUUCAUAAUCGAUAAUCCCCGAUCAACCCAACCACCCCUCGUUCUGUCCAGCCUAUAUACCGCCGUCAUCAGCUUACCUUUUUAAAGCAUAAACGUAAGCACAAUAGCAAACACUAAAAAGUCAGGUCAAGGUGUAGCUAAUGUGGUGGUGUUAAUGGGCUACAUUAUCUGCCCCAGAUAACCUUACGAACUAGCUUCUGAAACAACCCUAUGAAGGCGGAUUUAGCAGUAAAUUAUGUUAAGUAUACUUAAUUUAACCCUUGCUCUGGGACAUGUACACACCGCCCGUCACCC
rnacentral:rRNA from 1 species